rnacentral:lncRNA from 1 species
AUGCCUUUUAGUGGGGCUGGGGAAGGGAGGGAGGGAAAAAAGGGGGGAGGGGGUCGCCCCCCGCGGGAAAUUUGGAGGCUGAGCCUCGCUGGAGCAGUGCCAGAGCGGAGGGGGAGUUGUGCCAAGGUCAAGUUCUCGGGUGCGGUGGAAGAGCCGGUGGUGCAGAGCUGGGUCCUUUUUUUUUUUAUUAUUUUUUUUCCCUCUUUCUUUUCUUUUUUUUUUUUUUUUUCCUUUAGGAAGUCGGGACGAGCUUUACCGGUUAGGUUCGGUGACGGGCGAGGAGCUGCGGCAUAUGCCAAGCUUCAAAGCCGCUCUCGGGGUCGGCGAGCGAAUGCUCAGCAUCGGUGCGAUCUGCAGAGGAGCCGGGCUUCCCUCUCCACGCCUUCUUCGCUUUCCUACGACCCUCUUGCAAGCCCCUCGCUGAUGUUUCCUCUCCCUUGGAGCCCCAGCGCCUCGUUUUAGGUCCCUACAACCAGGGGUGGCUGCUGCCCAUCCGCCGGGCGAGUCGUAUUUCGGUGGCAGCCCCGCUGUGCUGACCACGCAUCGAUUUUGGAGGGCUGCCCCCGCCAGCAACACAAGCCCUUAGCAGACUCCUCCUGCGCGCAAGGGGCCUGAGCGUGGAAAGAAACGAGUGAGAGGUGCCAAAAAAAACAAGACCCGCUUUGAGGACAGCCAGCAGCCUUCUAGAAGCUCUGAACCUCCAAGCUUUAGUCAAGGCUGGUAUGUUAUUCAGAUAGAAAAGGCGUUUCACGAAUCGGCAGCUUCACGGCCGACCCUUCGCCUUUUUUCCGUCAUCCCUCCGAGAUGAGUGACGCCUCUUUCUUUCUUGCUGAGGUUUUGCCAAUUUUGCUGCCGGAACUAUUUGCAAAAUCGACACCGUGGAUUCCCAAGUUGACUGCACAGAAGCUUUCACGUAGCUCAGCUUCCCCUUCCACUAGAGCCAGAACGCUGGUACUCAUACCAAGUAAACCACCAUGGAAAUGAAGGAGAAAUCAAUCCCCCCUCGUCCAAAGCAAGCGAGUCGGGGAGAGUGAAAUGAACGGCAAGAAGCCCCCACGCCAAAGUUCAAGCUGCAGACAAGCAGAAAGCCGGGAGUUCUUUGCAAAGAGGGCGGCACAUCUCUUUCAUCUUCCUAAUGAGCACAUCAAGGAGAGCAAAUCCAUCCCAUCGCUUACGGCAAAGAGCCACUUCCUUUCUGCCACGUGCUUUGGAGCUUUUUUUUUUUUUUGUCUUUUUUACCUGUGGUGUAUGACAGUAUGAGCAUUUCAAUAAAUCCCGUAUAAAGCCCUCGAGUUCA